rnacentral:rRNA from 1 species
AUUGAACGCUGGCGGCAGGCCUAACACAUGCAAGUCGAACGAGUGGCGGACGGGUGAGUAAUGUCUGGGAAACUGCCUGAUGGAGGGGGAUAACUACUGGAAACGGUAGCUAAUACCGCAUACCAUCGGAUGUGCCCAGAUGGGCUUAUCUAGUAGGUGGGGUAAAGGCACACCUAGGCGACGAUCCCUAGCUGGUCUGAGAGGAUGACUCACAACACUGAAACUGAGACACGGUCCAGAUCCCUAGGGGAGGCGGCAGUGGGGAGUAUUGCACAAGGGGCGCAAGCCGGAGGCAGCCAUGCCGGGUGUAUGAAGAGGGCCUUCGGGUUGUAAAGUACUUUCAGCAGGGAGGCGUUACCCGAAGAAGAAGCACCGGCUAACUCCGUGCCAGCGGCGGCGGUAAUU